rnacentral:rRNA from 1 species
AUUGAACGCUGGCGGCAGGCCUAACACAUGCAAGUCGAACGAUAACAGGAAGCAGCUUGCUGCUUCGCUGACGAGUGGCGGACGGGUGAGUAAUGUCUGGGAAGCUGCCUGAUGGAGGGGGAUAACUACUGGAAACGGUAGCUAAUACCGCAUAAUGUCGCAAGACCAAAGAGGGGGACCUUCGGGCCUCUUGCCAUCGGAUGUGCCCAGAUGGGAUUAGCUUGUUGGUGGGGUAACGGCUCACCAAGGCGACGAUCCCUAGCUGGUCUGAGAGGAUGACCAGCCACACUGGAACUGAGACACGGUCCAGACUCCUACGGGAGGCAUCAGUGGGGAAUAUUGCACAAUGGGCGCAAGCCUGAUGCAGCCAUGCCGCGUGUAUGAAGAAGGCCUUCGGGUUGUAAAGUACUUUCAGCGGGGAGGAAGGGAGUAAAGUUAAUACCUUUGCUCAUUGACGUUACCCGCAGAAGAAGCACCGGCUAACUCCGUG